rnacentral:rRNA from 1 species
CUGCUGCCUUCCGUAGGAGUUUGGGCCGUGUCUCAGUCCCAAUGUGGCCGGUCACCCUCUCAGGUCGGCUACUGAUCGUCGCCUUGGUGAGCCGUUACCUCUCCAACUAGCUAAUCAGACGCGGGUCCAUCUCAUACCACCGGAGUUUUUCACACCAAACCCAUGCGGUUUUGUGCGCUUAUGCGGUUUUAGCAGUCAUUUCUAACUGUUAUCCCCCUGUAUGAGGCAGGUUACCCACGCGUUACUCACCCGUCCGCCACU